rnacentral:tRNA from 1 species
AGGACAGUAGUUAAAUAUAACAUUUGACUUGCAUUCAAAAAGUAUUGAUUACAUAAUCAAUCCGUCUUG